CCUCUGGCCCAGCCGCCCAGGGAGGCCUCCGUGGGAAGGCGCCUCUGGACGAGUCUCUGAGCCCGACCGAGCUUCCUGCCUCCAGUGGGGCCGGGCCUCCCUCUCACGGUCUUCCCACUCGGGGCCACGCAGAGGCUGCAGCUCCCAGGCCAGCCCUCGCCCACCGAGUGGCCAGGGCGGGGACAGUGGCCGCGUCUGGCUAUGUAGGGGCCCGGCCACAGUAAGGUGGGUGGGACGGCAAAUGGUAGCGUUGGGGCUUCCAGGGACCGCAGCCUCUGGGUGGGAGAUGGCAAAGGGCGUGUCCAGGCGGAGAGGAAGGGGGCCUGGCGUGCGUGCGUGCGUGUGUGCGCGUGUGUGUGCAUGUGUGUGUGUGGCCGGGCUGGGGGUAUGGAGAGGCGACGGUGGGCUGACGCCCAGGGUGGGGUGGGCAGGCCCAGGGACGUGCCGCCUGCUCGGUGAGCCAAUGGUCAGAUGGGUGAGGUGUCAAGGGAGCAUGUUCCAGACGGCAAGUCCCUCACGUCCUUGGAAUUGAAGACCUUCACACCAGACCCCGCAUGAUGGGGAGGCUGAGACCCUGGAAGGAAGGUGGCAACCCUAGCCACACUGCUGGGAGAGGACCCCUCGGCUCCCACACCCAGAGACCCCUUGAGGAGGGUCCUUGGGUCCCUUGUGGUGCGUACCCUGGGGCCCAACGCACAGUGUUUGUGCUGGGAACACCGAGGAGGGGCCGUGCUGUCCAGGCCUUUACGAUGCCAGGGUUUGCUGAGCACCAGAGUUUGCUAAGCACUGUGCCGGCCUGGGGAUGCUGCCGUGAGCAGGGCGGGAGCUGCCUGCAUGCUGCUUUGGGCAACUCAGCCUCGUCCCCCUCAACUCACGUCUGCGAGUUGGGUUGGCAGCCCCUGGCUCAGUGUCGUGGGAGGAUCACACCCGGGCACUCCCACCUUCCCCGUCAGGGCCUUCAUCCAGGAGCGAUGUCCGUGGUGGCCCCGAAAAGAUACGUCCCGGCCCCUGGCACCUGUGACUGUGACCUUAUUUGGAGAAAAGGGUCUUUGCAGAUGUAAUCAAGGGAUCGCAAGAUGCGAUCCUCUUGGAAUCUCCGCGUGGGCCCUAAAUCCAGGGACAGGUGUCCUUACAAGACACAGAAGAGGAGAGGACAUGGAGAUGAGGAGGAGCAGGUCGUGUGAAGAUGAGGCAGAGACGGGAGUGGUGCAGCCGCCACCAGGCUUCCCUGAUGGCUGGGACGUCUGUGGCCCGUGAGCUGGACAGUCUGGAAGCGAGCAUCUUCAGCAGCUGUGCCUGACCCCGGGCUCCAGAAGUUUCCCGAGUCUGCAGGAAUUGCCGGGAGACGCAGAGCAACCCCUUUAAUCAGGCUCCGUGAACUCUUUAACCCAAAGCUCUGUGACUCUGGAAGGGACCUCAAGGUCGAGAUGGGCCCUCGGAGGCUUUAGAUGCCGAAGCAGUUUCGUUUGGCCGAGUCAGCUGAAGGAGCACGUGGGCCUGUAAUGGGGGGUGUGCGUGUGCCGGGGGCCGGUUCACACGCCCGGGACUCCUGUGGGCAGCACGGCUCAGCUUCCCCUGUCUGUUAAUGGUACAAUCUGUUCAGACCUUUGGAACAUUCCUCAGCUUUUAUUUAAUGUGGGAAGAAUCAUUUCUGGAAUUAGCAUAUAAAUUGGCACAAGUCAGCAACUCGGGCAGAAAGCGCGUUCCCAGGUGUCAGGCUGGACGGCGGGGACGAUGACCCAGUGCUCCAGGCUCUGGCUCCUUCCGUCUUCCUUCAAGGGGUAAAGACAUGCUCUGUUUAAAAAACUCCAGACUUUCUCCCCAGAUCUGCAACUUGGGAAAGAAUACAUAUCCCCUCCAUGCUGGCCACAAGGGGAGCGAGGGGCCUGGCCAGUGACGGGAGGCGUGGGAAUCUUUUCCAGAUUAUGACGCGUGGAGGGAAAAUUUUCCAGCAGGGAUGUCUCCCCACGGGCCUGCCUUCUAGAACGAGGUGAUGGAGAGGGAGCCCCAGAAGUGUCCGCUCCCUAGCUGUCAUGUCUGGUCUGACCGGGGGCAGAUACUUUACACGUUUUAUGGCCCCAUUAGUUCUGGGUCUUUUGGAAAGGGGUGACCAGUUGAUCAUUAACUGUUUGCUACGUGUGGCAUUCCAAAUUCUGGCCUCAGAGAGCCCGUCCGCGUGCUGAUUCCGCCUACCCGUUGGGCCAUGGCUGGGCGGGCCUGCCUUCCAGCUGCGGGCGGGGCACAUGCCCGCGAUGCCAGGGGCUCGGCCGCGGUCCCCCAGCCCCCUCGGGCGCUGGCAGAAAUGCUUCAUCUGCCUUCUCAGCAUUCCGGCUGCCCGUGGACCCUCCGCCCCCGUUGUCUUCCCCAGGCUGUGGGCGUCCACCCCUGAGAAGCCGCAGACGAGCUGAUCCUUGUCGUGCUGACUUCUGCUCAUCGUGUCCUGGACAACCUCGGGGCUGGGUUUCCUCUUCUCGGUGGCUUGGCCCCCAGGCCCGGCCUGGGUCGCUGCUCUGCCUUCCUCAUGGACCAGCGUGUCUGACGUUCUCCCCCCACAAGAUUCCUGCGUGGCUUUCGGUCGGUUGAAAGUCACUCAAAUAGGCUUCCUGAAUAACAGAGUCGGGCAGCUCGCUAGAUGCUCAUUUUUUGCAUUCAUUGAAUUUUCUAACAACCUUCCGGAAACGUCCUUUCCUUGCAGAAUUCAAAGGCAUUUGCAAAGCAUUAAAGAAACAUGCUCCCUGGACGCCCCCUGCUCGUUCUGCUGACCCCGCUUCCUUAAGACAAGUAUCCCCCCCGCCCCAAGCAGCCCCUGCUCUGCCUGCCCCUCUGCCUUGGCCCCGCCUCCCCGGUCUUCUCUCCUUCUGGGGCUCCGCAGCUUCCAGGGGACAAUUCCAAAUGGCAGAUCUCAGCCCUCACCUUGGGCUUAGAACUUUCCAUGGCUCCUCAGGAUAAACGUCUAACAGAAAAAUCCCAACGCCUAUCCCCAGGGUGGCUCCGAGGACGUCCCUGGGCCCAGCAUCGCCGUCCCUUUUCUGUGUCUGUG
rnacentral:lncRNA from 1 species